rnacentral:lncRNA from 1 species
AUGCAGAUGCAAACAUUUCCAUCCACAGGAAGCCAAGCUGGCUCUUCCUGCUGCUGGGACUCUGCUGAGGUGGCAGCGAGUCAGGGAUGUGUCACCAACCCAGACAUGGAGUUUACUGGGUCAGUAGAUGGAGGGAGGCCUGGACUCGAAUUUCUUUUCUUUCCUCCAAAUGCCUGCUGGAGAAAAUCUGAUGUAUCCUGUCAAGCGUGUCAUCGGAGCGGAGGCGUGGCCUUUCUUCAGAAGGAGAGUUUUCUGGCUGUGUGGUCCCUGCCUGGCCACUUGGAGCUUAUAAUGAAGAGGUCAUGUAAGGAUACAGCAAGAAGGUAG